UAAGGGGGGGUGUUUUGAGUAAGAAUGAUGAAUUGAUUUUAGUAGCAUUAUGGAGGAAUUAAAUGGUUAAAUUUAAAGUUGUGUUGUUUUAUGGACAUGUUGUUAUCCUUGCUGAAUUGAAAGGAUUAAGGGUAUGAUUAUGCUCAUAUGAUUAUUGUUGUUGUUAUCAUGGAUUAUGUGAUGAGAAUGAAGGAAUUUAAUGGUUAGAGUUGGAGUUAAAUUUGUUGUGGGUUGUUAUAAGGAUUAUAAUGAUAAUAAUGUGGUUUACUUGCAUAUGGAUAGAUGAUGUAGUUGUGGUGUAGCUGCUGCAGUAUUUCAUUAAAUUUGCUGAAAAGAUUGCAUGAAAUACGGUAUAAGAAGUGAAAAGGGGGCUGCUCUACGCUAGGGGGCUGUUUUCGGCCAUAGAUGGAAAAAUUGUGGAUUGUUGGAAAUAUUAUGUGAAUUGUUUAGAAUGUUCUUGGAUGUUGUUAGUAUGGGUUUGGGUUAGUAUUUGAAUGUAUAAGUGUUGAUGUUGGCUUUGAGGUAAACCGUUGAAUUGAAUAUUUGGAAAGUUGUCGUAUGGUGUAAAAAAAGAGCUAUUAAUGUUAUUUUGCCUUUCAAAUUGAUUAUCGAUGUUGCUAGGUUGGUUAUUGUGGUUGUUGUUGCUGAUUUUGAGCGAGUUAAAUUCUCGGGUUAGCCUAUUUACAGGGGAAAUGCUACCCAAAUUUCUGUAGAAUUUAGAAUUAGUUUGGAAUAAAUGGCUUAAGUACCUAUGGCUAAUGUUUGAUAUUCGUUGGCGUAUUCAUAGGCCUUGGGGAGCCCGAGGCGUAGGUUGGGAUUAACUUUAGUUGGGAAAACUUGGAGCGCGUACGAGGUACAGACGCACAGUUUGGUGAUCUACCCAUUUAGGACACCCUCUUCUGCUGUUUGGAGUGCUCUUCUCAUUUCAGAGCACACAUUUUGGUAUAUAUUCGUUCGCUAUGUAUAUAUGUAUUUGUUCAGGGGCACGGCGGGGCCCUAUCCCGCCAUAUGAUUCGGUUUGUCUGUUUAGAGGUCUGUAGACGUAUUUGUGGGUGUGUGUGCCUACUUCUGUACGGAUGUGUUUGCAUGACUCUAUUCGUUAUGGCAGCCUCGUCGGCGUGCAUUUUGUAUAUGUUGUGGCAGCCUUGUCGGCGUGCAUUUGUAUAUGCGUUUUGGGCCGUUGUGCCAUUUGACAGCCUUGUCGGCUUUUGACAUAUUUGAUAGCCUUGCCGGCUUUUUGACA